GUAGGAUGAUGAGAGAUGACCGGUCGGGUCAGGAUGGCUGAAAAUGGUGCACAGCUCUUAGCCAGGAUUGAGGGGAGAAGAUCGCUCCAAGACAUCGAUCAGCACGUUUUCCCUGUGAAUGGUGGUCCAGCUCAAGGUGAUGUCAUCGAGUUUCAUGGAGUAGAAGGGAGCGGUAAGACGGAGGUGUUGUACCGCCACCUGAGCCGCUGUAUCCUCCCCACACACAGCGGAGGCCUGGAGGUGGAGGUUGUCUUCAUAGACACAGACUACCACUUCGACAUGCUGCGUCUGGUGAGCAUCCUGGAGGCCUGCUUGACCCCAUCACCUCUAGAGAGCGAGAUGGAUGUGCAGAUGGAUACAGAGGUGGUCCGGUCCAGCCUGGGUCGCCUCUCUGUGCUCCACUGCUCCAGCUCCGUCCAGCUCCUCCUCACGCUGCACUAUCUGGAGGGAACUCUGUGUAGCCGACCCGCCCUCUGCCUGCUCAUCAUAGACAGCAUCUCCGCCUUCUAUUGGAUAGACCGUGCCAAUGGUGGUGACAGCCUGGCUCGACAGGAGGCCAAUAUGAGGAAGUGCACCGAGAUCCUGGAUAGGCUCAGGAGAGACUAUGGCCUUGUCGUUUUUGCCACCACACAUGCGGUCAUGAGGAAUUAUUCGUCCAGCUCGACAGCAUCUGGAUCAUCUGAGCCGUGGAAAUGCAGCUUGGACUUCGAUAAGCAGUAUCUCAGUCGAGCCUGGCAAAAGAUACUCACACACAGACUUCUGUUCUCCAAAAGUGACCAAAGUAGCGUAUCUGAGGGGAACAAACAGCUGUUCUCAGUGGUGUGUAACACUGUAAGGACUAAAGGUGUUCAUCGAUGUGUGUUUUACGUCACAGAAGCUGGAGUUCAGUUUACUGAGUGACCUGCACACAUCUGUGCCAUUACAUCAGAUCUUUCAGGGGACAAAAUAACAGGAAGUGUUCAGGGUCUGAUCUCUGAAGGUUUGAACAUCUAUAACACGGAAAACAAGAUCAUCAGCAGGUUAAGGACAGUCAGAGGACUGGACAACUCGUCUCAUCAGCCAUUUUUCCUGUAUUAAAUAUUGGACCACUGAUCAGAAGGUUCAAAUCCCUGAGCCACCAAGCUUCCAGUGCUGGGCCCUUGAGCAAGGCCCUUAAUACUGAACUGCUCAGUUGUACAAAUGAGAUAAAGGUAAGUUGCUCUGGAUAAGGGUGAUGCCGGUAAGGUACAGAAAGAACUGGAACGAUGUCUUUCCACAAUCUGCUUUCAUUACUAAUGUCCUUUUAUUACAGAAAGUUAUUAAAUGAGGCUGUUCUCUGAGGAUAAAGAGUUACUCUGUUCUUCUUCUUCUUCUCCUCCUCUUUCCCAUCUUACUCUGUGACUCAUGCUCCGUUCAUCUUUCCUCAGAAUUUGGAAGUCCUUUUUGUAGUCCAAGGAAUUACUCCAUCUCCAGGUUUUGUAUCUAAAAGCUGCUGCUGCUCUGCUGCAAUCAUAAAGACUUUUUAGAAGCUUUCCAUUUCAAGUCUGCUUCUUCUCAGUGAGCUUCACCACUGCCUUGUUCAUGAUGGAUCUAAAUCUACAUCCAGAUUCCUGUAAAGCUGCUUUGUGACAAUAUCUUUUGUUAAAAGUGCUUUAGAAAUAAAAUUGCAAACCACAUAAAUUUACAUAGGCUUGUGCACUUGCUUAACAUCACCACGUGGAAACUGAUAUCCAUCUAUCCAUCCAUUAAUUAACUAUUAAUUACAACUAACUAACUAUCUAUAUAUUCAUAUAUAGAUAUCAUAUCUAUCUAUAUCAUAUCUAUAUAUCUAUCAUAUAUAUUCAUUCUCUCAUUCAUCCAAUUCAUCCAUCCACCCAUCCAAUGAGCCUACCAACCUUUCACUCCAUUCAUCCGAGCCUAGCAACCAUUCAUCCAACUUUUCAUCCAUCCAUCCAUCCAUCUAGUGAGCCUCCCAACCAUUCAUCCAUCCAUCCCUCCAGUGAGCCUACCAUCCAUCCACCCACCCAUGCAUCCAUCCAUUCAACCAUCCCUCUGGUGAGCCUAUCAUCCAUCCAUCCAUCCAUCCAGUGAGCCUACCAAUCAUUCAUCCAUUCGGUGAGUCUACCAACCAUCCAUCCAUACAUCCAUCUAUCCAUCCAUCCAGUGAGCCUACCAAUUAUUCAUCCAACUAUUCUUCCAUCCAUCCACCCAUCCAGUGAGCUUACCAACCUUUCAAUCCAUCCAUCCAGUGACCCUACCAACCUUUCAAUCCAUCCAUCCAUCCAUCCAUCCAUCCAACCAUCCAUAUAAUAAAAAUAAUGAACAAAAUAUAGGGUAAAAGAUAUCAUAUAUGGUAAAAAGAAUGUAUUGUAUUUUUCUCUUUAUUCCCUUAUUUUGUCUAUUAUCUUUACUUUGUA